CCCUUAGAUGUUCUGGGCCGCACGCGCGCUACACUGAUACGUUCAACAAGUUCCUUGGCCGAAAGGUCUGGGUAAUCUUUGAAACCGUAUCGUGAUGGGGAUAGAACAUUGCAAUUAUUGUUCUUCAACGAGGAAUGCCUAGUAAGCGCGAGUCAUCAACUCGCGUUGAUUACGUCCCUGCCCUUUGUACACACCGCCCGUCGCUACUACCGAUUGAACGUUUUAGUGAGGUAUUUGGACUGGACCUUCGGAGGUUCGCGCCUCCGUUGCUGUUCGGGAAGACUCCCAAACUUGAGCGUUUAGAGGAAGUAAAAGUCGUAACA
rnacentral:rRNA from 1 species